UCGAGAGACUCUACUCCCACCCAGCUCUCCUCUUCCUUGCUCGCUUUCUCUCUCUCCUCUUUCAGUGUUCGUUCGAACACGGCCCGGUACGGUUCUAUCGCCCCGUGCUCGAAGGAUCCUCUUCGUGAUGGGAGCUCGCUGCCGCGGUGGUAUCGGCAGGUUCCCUCGGUAGCCGAUUCUCCGACCCACCGAUGUCGCACGGCUCGUCAGGGUGACACGCGCGGUUCCUAGACAGGCAGUUCUCGUUUGCGGUCGGAUAAUCGGCACGUAUACGCGCGUACACUCACACACGCUGUGUACACACACACACAACACAUACACACAUGUACAUGUACAUAUAUACACGGAAAAUCGGAAGAUAAACGUCCGUGGUUUCUGUCACGGGGAACGUGGUUCGAGAGGAGUAAGAAACACGAAACCGGAGAAAGAGGGUGAAGUGCGUGUGGAGGAGAGUGCGAGAUCCAAAGAGGGAGGUACCUAAGUGCACGCAAAAGCGGAAAGGGAGCCGCGAACAAGAGAACCUCCGAAAAUAUCGUUUCGAUGAGGAAACGGUGGUGAGAACUCCGCUAGCGAGAAGACGCGGGUUUGCACGAGUGUCGACAGUUGGCUUCCACUCGAAAUCGCAAGGAUAGACAGAGGGGCCAUUCACCGUUACUAUACGCCACGAGGGCGAUCGGAGUCAAAGUCGUUUGUCAUUGUCGAUAGCUGUUCACCCUCUGGGAACGAAGCUCGAGGCAGCUGUAGCCGUUUGUGUCACGGCGGUCAGAGGUCGGCGAUUCGAUCUCGAAUCAAAUCGGGGUUGGUCGAGGCGCUUCCGUCGUACGGGAGGGAAGGAAAAGCAUAAGAGAAAGUCGGAAGAAAGAUGUCGGGAAAUUAUUCGGUCCGGUGCGAGCCCGGUCUAGUGGUGCCGUUAUGGGGACCACUGGAGAACCUCUACCUCUCCGAUGUGAUUUUCCGCGGAUUUGUCUACUUUCUUCUGCUGUUGUACCUGUUCAUCGGCGUGUCGAUAAUCAGCGAUCGUUUCAUGGCGGCGAUCGAGGUAAUCACAUCGAAGGAGAAGGAACUGGUGGUUCGCCGCCAGGGUAAGGAGCCGCAGAUCGUGGUGGUGCGGGUGUGGAACGAGACCGUGGCGAAUUUGACGUUGAUGGCGCUGGGUAGCAGCGCGCCGGAGAUCCUCUUGUCGAUCAUCGAGAUCUGGGCGAAAAACUUCCAGGCUGGAGAAUUAGGGCCGGGCACGAUCGUCGGCUCGGCUGCCUACAAUCUCUUCGUCAUUAUCUCUCUGUGCGUGUUCGUGAUACCAAACGGCGAGACCAGGAAGAUCAAGCACCUGAGAGUGUUCUUCGUGACCGCCACGUGGAGCAUCUUUGCUUACGUUUGGCUGUACGUGAUCCUGGCGGUUUCCAGUCCCGGCGUGCUCGAGGUUUGGGAAGGUAUCCUCACCUUUUCAUUCUUCCCAGCCACGGUUCUCACGGCCUACGUGGCCGAUCGACGUCUGCUCAUCUACAAGUAUCUGCACAAAGGCUACCGGAUGAACAAGAGAGGAGUGAUCGUGCAGGCCGAGGCCGGUGAUUCGGACGGUGGGGUGGAGCUCGAGAUUAAACCUCAGCAGGACAACUUCCACAACAUGACGGACGCCGACACGCCCGAAGCAAAGGAGUUCGAGCAGACCAGAAGGGAUUACAUCAACACUCUGAGAGAACUAAGAAGGAAACAUCCCACUUUGCCGCUGGAACAACUGGAGGUGAUGGCUCACGAAGAGGUGCUCGGAAAGGGGCCGAAGAGCAGAGCGUUCUACAGGGUACAGGCGACCAGGAAGAUGGUCGGCGCAGGAAAUCUGAGCAAGAAGAUCAGCGAAAGGGCGCAGAGCGAUCUGAGCGAGGUCAAGGCCGAGCUGCAAAGGCAAGAGGCGGAGAGCAUCGACAUCGAGAACGUGAACGCCAUGAGAAUCUUCUUCGAACCUGGCCACUACACCGUGAUGGAAAACGUCGGUACCUUCGAGGUAGGAGUGACCAGAGUUGGCGGUGACCUAACCAAACCGUGCACCGUCGAUUACUGCACCGAAGAUGGCUCGGCCGAGGCUGGUUCCGAUUACAUCAGCGCCAAGGGCACUCUAACCUUCGAUCCGGGCGAGACCAGGAAAACCAUCAAGCUCUCCGUCAUCGACGACGAGCUGUUCGAAGAGGACGAGCAUUUCUACAUCAGAUUGAGCAACGCGUCGCAGCCUGCCAUGCUGGUGUCACCUAGCUUGGCGACCGUGAUGAUCCUCGACGACGAUCACAGCGGCGUGUUCGGCUUCCCCGAAAGGGACAUCGAGCUGGUGGAAAGCGUUGGUCAGUUUGCUCUGCGGGUGGUGAGAUACAGCGGUGCCAGGGGACGCGUGACCAUCCCCUAUCGCACCAUCGAAGGAACGGCCAAGCCUACCAAGCAGUACAUGCACACGGAGGGCUCGCUCACCUUCGAGGACAAUCAGACCGAAAAGCUGAUCCAGCUGUCGAUCAUCGAGGAGGAUUCGUACGAGAAGGACGCGCUGUUCUAUGUCGAGUUAGGCGAACCACUGUUACAAGGAGCCGAGGCAGGGAUUGCAGUGGCGGCGGAAAUGAAGCAACCGGAGGAGCGCACUGCUGAAGAAAAAAUGGCGUUGCUUGGGAAACCGAAACUGGGCGAGGUGUCCAGGGCGCAGAUACGAAUCAAAGAAUCGAAGGAGUUCAAGAACACGGUGGAUAAACUGGUGCAGAGAGCCAACGCUUCUAUCCUGCUCGGAACGAGCUCGUGGAAGGAACAGUUCACGGAGGCGUUGACGGUGAGCGGCGGCGACGAGGACGAGGGCGAAGGUGCUGGUGAACCAAUCUCACCGUCCUCCUUGGAUUAUCUGAUGCACGGCUUGACGUUAUUGUGGAAGGUGUUGUUCGCGUUCGUCCCACCAACUGAUAUCGCCGGUGGUUACCUGUGCUUUGUCAUCAGCAUAUUCGGAAUCGGUGUGGUGACGGCGGUAAUCGGAGACGUCGCAUCCUACUUCGGCUGCACCCUGGGAAUCAAGGACUCGGUUACCGCGGUGGUUUUCGUCGCUCUUGGUACCAGCAUUCCCGACACGUUCGCGAGCAAGGUGGCCGCCUGCCAGGACAAGUACGCCGAUGCGAGCGUGGGCAACGUGACCGGAAGUAACGCGGUGAACGUCUUCCUGGGGAUCGGCAUUGCAUGGAGCAUCGCAGCCAUCUACCAUGCCUUGCACGGUGAAAAGUUUUUGGUAGAACCGGGCAAUUUAGCCUUCUGCGUGACGUUGUUCUGCACGGAAGCUUGCCUGGUAAUCCUGAUUCUGCUACUGAGGCGGACGAAGAACAUCGGCGGCGAACUCGGCGGACCUUUCGUACCGAAGCUCGUUACGUCGCUGGUCCUUUUUUUCCUCUGGGUGUUCUACCUCAUUAUGUCGAUCCUCGAGGCCUACGGCUACAUCGAGGGCUUCUAAAAGGAGCCCGUUCAACGCUCGCAAACAUCGGCCUACAACCGCUCCGCGUGUAUCUUAAACUCGUCGCGUCCGCCAAGACGUGUGCUCAACGAAACGUUCUCUCGGACAAAAGGGAAGUGGAAUCGAAAGGGUGCGAUUUCGCUGGCGAACGAACUGUCUGAACUGUGCGCCGGAAAAUCACUGGUAGCUUUCACCCUCCCACACACGGGAUGAACAACAACGAACGUGAUCGCGUGGCGUUAUCGAAUGCGUGCAUGUGCGUAGGUACCUGAGAGAAUGAGCGUGAGAAAGGGAGAGCGCGAGUAUGUGUGAGAAGGAGCGAAUAAUUGGGAAAGAAACGAAAGCAGUUAAUCGCAGGAAAGGGAAGAAGUAGAAGAGAAAAGUGAGUAGAAGAGGAGAAGGGAGGAUGUACGAGAUGGACAAAGGAGAAGCUUACGUGUGCGAGGAAGUAAAGUGAGUUUGCCUUAAACAUAAUUUAACGUAAUAAGACGUACGAAAGGAACGCGUUCUAGUCUCCGGCCGUGGCUCGUACGUUCACGGCUCUUAUCAAAUAGAAUGCAAGAUAACAAAAAUCAGAGAAGGAUAUAUUAUAUACAUAUAUUAUAUACACAGACACACGUACGUAUAAAUAGCGUAUUUAUUUAGUCCUUGAUGGAACACAGGUUUCUAUGGUAUUUUAGUAGCGGAUUGUAUUGCCAUUCCUCUUUCGCCAGAGAACGAUGUCGCUAAUUUUAUAUAAACGUAUAUUAUCAUACGACGCUCCUUUCGGAACGCUCAUCGAUCUUUCGCGAUCCCGCGGUCGCGAUAAGUUUUCCGGGCGGCCGUAGAGUUCCGUUAUAUCGAAGGAAGUCGUAGAUCGGAAUCGAUUUGCAUGAGAAAAGUCCGAAUCGCGACCUCACACAGGAAUACUACACGUAGAUAAAUAAGUUGAAGAUAUAUAGCCGCGGCGAGAGCAAGGCAAUGUACAGUGGAAGCGCAAAUUAUUCACCGACUCCCUCGCGAAGGGGUAAGAUUCUUCGAAUAGGAAGACAAACGUUCGACAUUAGAAUCCCUCGGACGCUGGCAAGAUUCCUUUUAAACCAACAUCCUGUUUAAUCGCGUUAUAUCGAUCGUACUUAUCGAUUUAGCCAAUACGCUGAUGGAGUAUUUCGUUUCGACCGUGGUUUUGCCUAUUCGCAACAAAUCGAGCCGUGACUCUCGAACGGAAAAUAAAAGGAGAGAUAGAAAGUAAUAGAAGCGCGAUCUCGAUAAUAAGCCAGCUCGCCGCAACGAUUGCUUAGAUCGUUACCACGAUGAAACAUGUUUGCUAUUUAUUAAGAAUUAAAUUAGGUAGUGCGACAAACAUAAUGAAAGACGCGCGCACGGUGUACGGCGGCCUUCGUUCGAAUGUCGAAAUUUUCAUUGGUGUUCACUGCCUUUGAUCGACGGUCGCUUCAACACCUGACGCGUCGAGUAAUCUUAAAACAAUUGAACGGACAUUAGUAGAACGACGUAGAGCACGUACGAUGUAAAAGGAAAAGAAAAAAGAAAAAAAAAUAGAAGCAUACGAAGAAGAAAAGCGAGCACGCGUUAAAAACAGCCGCAUCGACACGAGCAAUAGUGAGUUUCUGAGACCGUGUGCUCGAGGUUCGACAUUGAUAUCGGAUAUCCGUCGGAUACUCGAAAAAUCACAGUGACUUAUUAAACGUUCUCAGUGAGAACAAUUGUUCGAUUAAUUUUAGCGAAACAUUGACCGGCCGACACGUGGCUGAAUCUAUUGUAGUUGAACGUGUCCUUAACGGCCACUCGUCUAAAAACCUAUAGUUACGUAGAGAAUUAACUAACACUGCAAAGGUUGUAACUGACUAAAGUAUUUACUGUAUUAUUUUCACCGUACACCGAGGCAAUCGAGGAGAACACGUCCGCGAUACGAAUCAGUCUCGCGAUACGGAUUCUCAUCGACGUGUCCUUGACUCUCGCCUUUCCGUCGUGGAUUAAAUAUAGCAGAUAAUUCUGCCGUCUGUUAAUCUCCGAGGAACGACAAAAAUUAUCAAGGUCGUUAAAAUUUGCAGACAUAGCUGAUGAAUGAUUCACGCUCAGAUCGUCGAACGAGCCUUAUCUCCCUAGAAUCGCGCGUAAUUAACAGGAAAAUGAUAAAAGAGGCCAGUCGUAAAGAAAUAAUUGUGAUCAUGUUCGUUAUUUACGAGCGGAUUGCGAAAGAGCCUUUAAACGAUUUCCAAAACGAUGUACAAGGGAUAGGCGUGCUUCCCUUUUCGUCCGAGGACACGAUGAAAUGGCCAAUAGGGGCAGUGUACCUGGGAAGAAUCUCUCGGUAGACGCAGAACGUAGGAGAACCGGAUUUUCACGGGGAGCGAAUCAAUUCGUGCGAAUUGCAAGUCGUUUGCAGGCAGAAAAACGCAAGAGAAAACGCGGCUGCGGCUUGAACGCGCGCGCCAGAGUAAAAAGACGCGGAAGAGUCGUGGAAAGAUUCACCGGAUGGUCAAGCGGAACUCCGACGACCCGGAAUUCCGGCGAGAACACUCCGUCAAUCCGCACCGUGCUACCGCGUUUCCUUUUGCGUCGAGUCGAAGAUGGAAGCAAACCGAAUCUACCGCAGAAACAGAGUCUGGGACUUGGAGGUCGUUAAUUCUAAAAAUCAUGUUAUAUAAUCUUGUACGGUACGCUUGAUAGAACGUUCGAUUUUGAAAUCUUCAUCGCGUUUCUUCGAUGCUUCUCCUGCGAAGAAAGAAUUUCACCGUGAGAUCACUCGAAGGUCGUUUGAAGAUAGCUUCUGAGUCACUUGGUGGUCGUCGGAAGGCUGCUUCAAAUAACUCGACGUCGAAAGGAAAUUCAAAGGAAAAUACACGCACACUGUUACCGCUGGAACAGCAUUUACUCUAGCAGUACAGUUUAUACAAAGUGUCGCAGACACAUGGUUGGUGCUCGACGAACGAAUACCAAACGCACAUAAGAAAAUCCAAGCUAUCAUUCUUCUUCGAUGUUUCCAUUAUCCUGGUAGCGAAGGCUACGAUGAAUUAGUUUCUUUGACGAAGCUCGAGAUGUUAUCCGAGCCAAUUACACUUCCCAACUUAUCGCGUGAAGGAGCAAGAAGUAGCUCUUGCGAAGAAAUAGCCUUCUCUCGCAAGCUUUCGUUGUGAAACGAGUCUACCAACGUGUAUUUGAUCUUUAAUCGGAGUGCUUGUUUUCAAAUUAAGAGGAUCUUUUGUACGCUUCGGCUCUAGGUCUAGGAAAUCUUUCACGGUUCGUUUCUUAAAAAAUUCUUCGUAGAAAAUUACCCGGAAAUCUGAACUUCGUACGUAGCUACUCGGUGGCAGUUGGGAAACGAUCGACGAACGAUCUUGACAUAGUACGACAUUCCGUGCACAGUUGUCGAUCGAUCGAAUGCCACGCGCGUAGAUUUGCUUUUGAGCAUCUGUAAAUCGAUUUCGGUGAUCCCUGAUGGUCCGCGAGAGAGAGAGAGAGCAAAAAAUAAAUCAAUCAAAGGAACACGAUGUGAAAGUUGGGGUCUCCGUCGAGUUUCUUCCCUUCGAUUUGCCUGCAAACGACGCUAGCGGAGUUAAAAAACACGCGAUCCCUCGUGAACCUUAGCCAAUUACGCGGAGUACUACCUUCCAGUGUACGCCGCAUAACCGUUUACACAACCCAGCCGAGGGCCUCGCGUUUUAUUUCACUCGAUUUCGCUCCGGGGGUGGAUUGGGGUGGGAGGGAAAUUGAUGUUAGUAGGGUGAAGGAAAUUUUUAAAACAGAAGAAGCAAAAUCUGCGAAAGCAUCGUAUAAGCGACCACACACGGUCGCCAUGUCAGCCAAAAAGAUCACAGAUAUACAUAUGUGUGUAUAAAGGAGAAGAGAAGUAUAUAGUGUAUGUAUACAUACAAUAUAGAUAUUUUAAUAAGAGAACCGUUCAAAGAGAUUUAAUAUAUAUACAUAUACAGAUAUACAUAUAUAUAUAUAUAUACACAUAUACAUGUAUAAGUAUACACAUACAGUAGGACGUAUGUAGACGACACUCAAUAGCAAAGCGUUGAAGUGAUAAACCGUAAAUGGGAUCCGAAGAGUUACCAGGUUCUCGAGGUUCGACUGCUGGACGAACGAUCGUCAUCGAUACAAGAGAAAAUUAUCGAAGCCUUUCGAUCGCAAGGGAAACGUCGCCGUAAACCAACAAGAAAGAAAGAGAGAGAGAGAGAGAAAAGAAGAAGAAAACUCGUCGAUUUCUGUUCUGAACGAGGUGCUUCGUCGCGACCGUGCGUUUCAUCGUCUCGAAACGGUAUGCACGUGAAAAUACGUUCUGCUACUAAGUACCUGAUUCACCUUUCAAUUUGCUUUCGAAGAGCAACUCGGCCGUCUAAACGGCUGCCCGUUGCUCGCUAACAUAGCCAUUUUACUAACGUGUAACGUUCGAUGCUUAACUUUUCGCUCGUAUGUACCAUUGCAAACGGAAUCGUUCUAUCGUAACUCUAAACCUCCUUCGCUCCCUUCGAGGAACGACGUCUCCUGCGCGUCGCGUCGCGCCGUUUUUCUCGCGAUCGGACGCGAUUCAUCACUGGCGAUUGAAAUUCACACGAGCCGGAAGCUCGCUUGAAAUUCACAGGAUACAGAAUUUCGUGGUGCAAGUACAUGGGAAGAUCGAUAGGGCGUUUUAUAGACGUUGCAGCCAGUUGCACCGAGUCGCACACGGAGAAAAUGGAAGCGAUUGAUCAGACGCAAUCAAAAGUGCUACGCGUACCUCGACGAUCGACACGUCCAGCAGCGUUAUCAGCGAGAAUUUAUGGAAACGGACGAUCUCUCUUCUUCGUACAUUUAUUCCAAUUACUCUUCAUCCAGUCUCUCGUGCAAGAUCCUUUCAAUCCUGUUAAGCGGACUUGCAACAAAACGAAUUCAAUGGCCGCGUGUUUAUGCCACCAACGGUCCUUUGAAUUCGCUCGUUUUAUUCGCCGAGCGUCGUUUUUGAAGCGGCACUAUCUUCAUCCUCGUUUUACAUUUCUUCCCUUCUUUUUCCCCCUCUUUCCCUUCUAUGAGGAGCAUCGUCGCGAAGCGUCCCCAACCUUGCGAACAAACGAGAUUUCGUUGCAUCACGCGAUUGACGCGUGAUCACUGGACCGACCGAUCAGUUUCUACCUUUUUUUCACUCGAUGGAAUAUUUUGAAAUUCGUGUCGUUGUCGAACGACAGCUCGCGGAUAAGUAUUUUUCACUCGUUAGAAUUAGGACGAACGCUGAUUAAAGGGAAACGUUGCCGAGUGCCGUGCUCCUAUCGCCUGGCCAAAAUUCCAGCGUUUCUUUCACCGAAUUGUAUCGCGCUGCAACAAAUUGGAAACUCGGCCAACUAAUUUCUUAAUUGAACUCGCGAUAAAAUAAACGAUCCAGGCCAUUCCGCUCGAACGGAAACGAAUAGCCCGGCAAACAAAAUGCAAGCAGACCGCCGGGCAAAACCUCGUAAACCGAAAGUAAUGGAAAUUAUAAUGCUCGCUCACGGCACUCGAGGAUUUUCCAUUUAAUCAUGCCUACCGAUGUUUGCUGUUUAAGUAGAUACUUAGAAUCGAACGACAGCGAGCGGAAAAUGUGCUUUGCUCUUUGAUGGACAUUCUCUAUUUGUUGGAAUUUAAGAACGUCGUUUUCGCAUGGCCAGCCCCAGCUCCCGUCGACGUCGCGAAUCGAUAACGAAAACCCUCUGUGGAAUUCCAUAGAGUCGAGGGAAACUCGCUAAAAUUUGCCGCUGAUAUUGCAAAGGUUUUCAGAUACCUUCGAGCGAGUAACAUUGAUUGCAAAUACGUCGCAUGGGAUGAGAGACAUUGCGGGUCGAGCAAAAUUGAUAGCUCGAAUUCGCGUGAUUCGAUGCUCGUCGGAACCGACGUCUCCUUUGACGCCGAUUUCUUUCCCAUUUUUCCUCUUUUACUUUGUACCAGGUACUUUGUACUGGUUAUACGAAACCGCGUAUCUGCGGAGAAAAAGAAUGCGAAACAAAAGCAGCCUCCUCGAGGAGAUCGGCCAUCGGUGGCUCGACUUAAACGAAUUAGAACAACUAGAAACGCAUCGAGCGAACAGUGUUCUCGCGUAGGUUGAUUAAAUCGAAUACUUAUGUAAUAAAAGAUACUUUGUUAGGCGCCGAGCCAACGUGUUUAUACGUUUUGUAUUUUCUAUACAAAGGUGUUGAACGAUCGCGACGAUUAGUUGGAUAGAAAUUAGCAGGGUUUUAGUUUAGAAAUUGGCAUUUCUAGAUUACGUACGAAGUAUCGAUCGGUAGGAUUUAGUUAUUAUCGAAAACAAAGGAACCAAAACCGCUAGAUGCAGAUUCUUGAGAUAUAUAUAAGACUUGAAAAGACUCGCGGAACGAAUUUUCGUCGUUUUAUCCGAAUAUAUCAAAUCGAAUUCUUCAGACCAAUUUCCAUUUCUUCACUUAUCACUUUCAGUCGUAUCGAAAACGGUCCCGAUGAUUCCGUUUUUCUCGUCGCUAUCAAUUCUACGUAUCUAUGUAUAUAUAUAUACGCGUAUAUUAUCCAGAGUUGCGUAUCUUUAAGGACAAUUUCGUUGUUUCUUUAUGACAAUCACGUAGAAUCAUGUGGCUACGUUAGUAGGCUGAUUUAACAUCGAUAGCUACCACUGAUUAUCUAUUUUCACUUCUAACAUCUUCAAUUGCUGUGAUUUUCAAACGAAAAAUUAGCUAAAACAUAGCUAGUCGAUUUUAUAGUUAGCGUAAACGUGGGUAAACUAAGUUCGAUUAAAAAUAAAAAAAAAAAAAUCGCGCGGACCAGUGGUAGCCAGUUGGUUUCUGGUUAUGAUUCGGUUGUUGUGCAAAUUAUCACUGAAACAAGGUAUCUGCAUCGAUCAAUUAAUCCAAAGAAUCAAACUUCACGGUUAUACGCACAGUCUGGACCAGCAUGUAAUUGCAAACUCGAACAGAAGAAUCGUCUAUCGAACGCGAUAUUGUCUCUAUAGUUUCUUCGGUAUAUGCUAGUUUCGACUUUCGUCCGUUGAUUAGUCAACUGCAUACGCGAAACGACCAACGUUCUACAGAGAGAACCUUCCAUUCGGACCAAACAAUUCGAAACCGAACAUUCGGCGAGUCGUCGUCUGUGCGCGAAACGUGCACCAAUUUGACGACAGUGCGAGUAAAUCGAACGACUAUCGUUUAUCGUUGCGACGAUUCACGCGCAAAUCGGAGACUCGCGAAACGAGCCGACGAACUGGCGUGAGAAAUAAAAACAUAACUUUCGUUCGUCGAAUCGCUCGUAUUUUCUUUUAAUCGAAACGUUUCUCCUUGGCGAGAUAUAUCGGUGUAUCGGGGCUGGCCAUGUCUCUUCUACAAAUAAAGCUAAACGUACUAAACUUACUAUACCCACUAAACGUAUCGAGAUUUCUAUUCGAUUUUACUCCCACGAAAAACUAUUAUACUUGUACACUUUUAUCUCUCAUUCUCUAAAAUACUAUACACGCUAUAGGUUAUAACUAAAACAAAAAAAAAAAAAAGAAAUGUAUUCCUAUCUAUAUAUCUACGUAUAUACACGAGAUCUCUGCUCUUUGAUCUAUCGAUCAACGUUUGUCUUUAAAUCGACGUCUUUACUCACCGCUUGCACGACUCUCGUAGAGACACCAAAGAAACAUAAAACGAUGCGUUAUUAAUCAAACAUAAAAGUAUAUGUAGGACCAUUUGGACUCGCGUCGCGCGAUAGUAUCGUCCUCGAUGAACGAAUCGAGGAUGUCGCGCGUUAUCCAACGGCCCGGCGUCCUCGCGCUAAAAGAAAAGGAAAGCAAAGAACAAAAAAAAAAAAAAAAGAAUGAGAUUCGACGAGCGAAAAAACAACGGCGACCCGAUAGAGAGAGGACUCGCUUCUUCGUUCGCGAUGCCGAUAUAAAUAAGAAAAGAGUUAUAAGAGGGCGAUCGGGCCGUGUUCCUUAGAAACAUUUCGAGAACUAAAGUUGUACCGUAAGAUAUGAAAACUUUGUAAAGUAGAUAGCGGAAAAGAGUGGAGGUGGAGAACGAGGGGUGAUAUUCUCGGAGAGCGGCACUCGCGCUAAUGGAGGAAGAAAAGCGUGCGGAACGAAAUGGAGAGGUGGAUGCACAUUGAAUCUGAGUUUUCUACCGUAUAAGCGUAAUACAACACAAAAUACUGCUCGCCAGUAGAAAUUAUAAACCAUGUAUAUAUGUAUUGUUGCGUUAUUGCCUAACAACUUAACGAUAGGUGCGUUACUACGAUCGGGAGAAUUAAACAAAUAAUAAAAACAAGUAAAACCUUCUUCUUCCUUGGCAUCAGGGACAUCUGUCCGAUGAUUAGGACGAGUGUAGAGUAUCGAUACCUUAUAAUUAGCCAUGUUGUAAAUAGAAGAUGAAGAUUGCUGAUUUUAUGAGAUUUACGAGUGUCAUCGAUGCGAGAUCGAAGGAGAUCGUUCGUUCGACAACCGUACGACUAUCGUCGCCGGUUGUUUCUUCGAAUUUUUAGUUCCUCUCUUCGACCAUCGUCGAAAUAUAUUUACGAGCACCGGUUAGUAGAGUAUAGAGCACUUGUAAAGCAUAUGAUUUUUAGUUGGAGCGAACGGUUCGUCCGUUUGCUCGCAUCGGCGAUAUUCAAGUUCGUCGUUUCGUUGACCGUUUCCUCGCAGGUCGUUCAGAGGCCUCGAAUAAUUCUCGCUGUUCGAUCGAUUGCUAAUCGUAAGAUCCACGGUGGACGGCACACGUCCCGUUAGCGCGUAAGAAUUCCGACUAGAACUUAAGCCCAUAGCGAAGAUUUAAAAAGAAAAAAAAAAAAAGUAAUAAAAUCGAGAAGUUGAAUGUAACGUAAAGGAGGAAAAGAAGACAAAGAAUAUGAAAAAGAAGAAAAAAAGAGUUUACGGUUAAACAUAGCGAACACUGCAGAAACGAGGAAACAUUCUCCGUGCCCUGAGACAUUUCACACGGAUUCUCCGCUGUUCUUUCCACUCUAUCCAUCUUUGUCGCCCUUUUUAUCCCGUUUUUUUCUUUCUAUCCUCUCGUUCCUCUGAUCGAAGGCGAUCGAUCUGCCACGAUGUUGCUUCGAAUCGUUGUUGAAUCUAUACGAACGAUUGCUACUCCUGUUCCUUCUUGCCCUUUUAUUUAUUUCCCUUUCGUAUCAUUUCGCUUCCUUCGUUCCCUUCCCUCUUCCUAAUCCCAUCCGCUGUCCUUUUCGUUCCUUCGUUCCAUCUAAUUCCAAGUAACUGUGCGUUCGCCGCGUUUCGAUACGUCACGCAAAGAACUUACGUUAUCCGCAACCUUUGCGCCAUACAACGAAAUGCGAUUACGUUUACGUUGCGCUCGUAAAAGCGUUCGCACGAUUGUAUAUCGCUUGAAUCGAGAAACUGUUUAACCAACCUAGAGGAGGCAGCCACGCCUGGCGGGAAGGUCGAGACUUAUCGCGUAAUCGUAUUGCCGCCGAUACCUCCCCAAGGAGGCUCGAGCAAUUAACCCACACGUACAACGAGAUAACGCGAUGUACGGUAAUGAACAAAGCGUCGCGCUCGUCGUUACUACGCCCAACUUAUUUUGACCCUUUCGGCCAACGAAUUCGCAGAACAAGAUAUAAACGAAGGUCACGGAUGAAAAACACGAUAAACGUUUUACGGAAAAGCAAUCUCGAGAUUAAACACGUCGUUAGCCAAUUCCACGUCGCAAUUGUUUUCGCCAUUAAACACCGGGAUUUUAUUGAAAAACUUUUAUCAAAUUGGCUUGUUCGAUCGACGAGUCUCAUAUCGACGAAGGUAGAUUUGUAUUACAUUUCGUAUAAAGAUACUUGUUUUCGGUUACCAAACGACAUAAAAGUCAGAGGAUGAAAAAAAAAAAGCAACUUAUCGUCUAUCUGCCGUGUGGUCUUCGAAUCUAUUACGAGCGAGUAUAUUGGAAUUUCCAAAGCAACCGACCUACCGUAAAGUCAUAUCAAUUUAAUUCUUCGUCCCGAUACGUUUGCUUUGAGGAUCACGGCCACUCGUAGCCGCCUCUCUAACGUCGAGCUCGUCUACCCAAAUGAGACUAACUCGAGAUAAAAUCAUUGGCGAACAAAGACCCGAUAAAGAUGCAAAACGGUGUAUCUGUGCGCCGAAAAAAAAUUCUAUGUCUGUAAGAGGGAAUCGACUUAAGAUAGGUCUGAAAGAUAACCGGCAGCCUGGAGGUACCCGGUGUCCCAUUAUGCGAAAGUAUCGAUCUUGCCGCUUCGUUCUUCUACUACGAGAAGCGAUAAAGCUUUAUGUUCCGUCUUCUAUGUAUAAUUCCUAUUGUACAGGAGAGCAAGAAAGGGCCGGACCCCGGUUCCUUCACAAAUCGUUGUAAGACGUUAAGCCGUUUUAUGCUUACGCUCAUUAUUAUUGGCAUUAUUAUAUACUGUGGAUUCGUCGUUCGUCGCUUGCGGCCAUUCAAGUGCUCUACGCGCUUCGAUCGAACGAACGUGGUGAACUGUUCGAGGAUUCGUUUGUCUGCCCUCCCCCUCCUUGAACGACGCGCAAACGACGAAGGGACGAACAACGUGUUAAUUGUUGAUGUACGAUCUCGUUGAGAACCCCUGAGGAAAAAAAAACAGAUAAGAAAAAGAAAACUAAAAAGAAUCGAGCCAAAGAAGCUCGUUGCGAGAACGAGCAGUUAGAAUAUGAGCGAGAGGAAGAGUGUGAGAGAGGGAGAGAAAGGAAGAGAGAGAGAGAGAGAGAGAGAGAGAAAGCGACGGAAGCCGCUUGCCUUCGACGCAACGAAGAAAUAUUCCUCUGGAAAAAUCGAGCAGACUGAAGGGAAGGUUAAUCGUUAGGCGAAGAAUCCUAAGAAACUCGCGUGAAGUCACACAAACUGAAGAUACAAAGCCAAAGAGAUAUUUUAGAAAGAACUCGUUCUACGUGUACGCGAUGAAAGACUCUUUCUUCCUCGUAGUCGAUGGUCGAUCUCGUUGCUCGACCGCAAGCGGAUCACGCGUGCCGAAACAGCAUAACGCGAUCGACUAAGAAAUCAAUUAAUUGUAACUGAGUCGAAAGUGCAAAAUAUACAGACAUUAAAUGUUAUUUA